GAACUAAAAUACGUCUAGAUACAUCCACUACUGCGACAAGUAAUUCCGAAUGGAGGGAGUACCUCCUUAGUCUUGUGUCCGCUGGUUUGCCCUCCUCCUCUUCUUGGGCUAGCUUUCUGGGGAUUGGAUUGUGCAUCCGAUUCCAAACCAGCAUCCUUUUCUUGCUCUUGGUGUCCAAUAAAAUCCAGCUUUCUUCUUCUUCCCUCGUCGGAUUUGUUCCUCAAAAUCCGCCCCCACCGACCGAGGUUACUCUCUGCUGGUUCUUCAUCUCCCUCUCUUAGCCGCUUCGAGCGGGAUGGAGCAGAGACGAUGCAUUCUUUCUCCUCCAUCUCAUGGCAUCGUCUCUUAUUUCCUUCGGUGAUGUUCUUCGUUUCAUUUUCAUGCGCUUGUCAAUGCGGUUCUUGAUUGUCUGAUUUCCCCCCUCUUCAACCUCCAUUACGGAGGCCCACCAUGCUGUUUCGGGGGGAGGCAGCCGGUCAGCCCCGGCGGAGGCAGUUUUCUCUCAAUGCUGUUGAAGCACAUGCAUACCCUGGAUAUUUGGCUUCUUCAGCUCCAACCUCCAGAUCUCCGGCUGCAAGACCACAUGGAGGCCCCAAUCCCGUUGAUCUUUUGAUUUGGCGACCGACGACUUCAACAGACCUGUCCCUGGUCAGCUACGAAGAAGCACGAUGUCUUUUCUCCUCUGCUUUCUUUCCUCACCCCAUCUGAAGGUCCGCCUGAGAGGCGAUUCCGGGCAAGGUGUUCGCAGUCAGCGGAGAUUCAAGCACUGUUCGCCGCCGGCACUUUCCUUUGACUCAACCGCACGGGCGCUUUCCACCGGUGAGGUGUUCGCAGUCGACGGAGAUUCAAGCGAUGUCCGCCACCCGCACUUUCCUGUGCCUCCGCCACACCGGCGCUUUCCGCCUGCAAGGUGUUCGCCGUCGGCACGACAGAGAUUCAAACGGUCGACGAGCUACGUGUUCGUAGUCGGCAGAGAUUCAAGGGCUUUCAAUCGGUGAGGUGUUCGCAAUCAGCGUGUCGGCAGAGAUUCAAACGGUCGACGGGCUAGGUGUUCAUAGUCGGCAGAAAUUCAAGUGCUUUCCAUCGGUGAGGUGUUCGCACUCAGCGUGUAUUCAAGCGCUCGACGGGCGAGGCGGAGAUUCAAGCGCUUUUCACCGACGAGGUGUUCGCAGUCGGCGGAGAUUCAAGCACUUUUUGCGACGAGGUGUUCGCAGUCGGUGGAGAUUCAAGCGCUUUCCGCCGGCGAGGUGUUCGCAGUCGGCAGAGAUUCGAGCGCUCGACGGGCGAGGUGUUCGCAGUUGGGGGAGAUUCAAGCGCUUUCCGCCCGCGAGGAGUUCGCAGCCGGCGAAGAUUCAAGCGCUUUCCACCGGUGAGGUGUUCGCAAUUGGCGGAGAUUCAAGCGCUCGACGGGCAAGGUGUUCGAAGUCGGUGGAUAUUCAAGCGCUUUCCGCCGGCGAGGUGUUCCCAGUCUGCAGAGAUUCAAGUGCUUGACGGGCGAGGUGUUCGUAGUCGGUGGAGAUUCAAGUGCUUUCCGCAGGCGAGGUGUUUGCAGUCGGCAUGCGAGGUGUUCACAAUCAGUGGAGAUUCAAGCGCUUUUCGCAGGCGAGGUGUUUGCACUCGGUGGAGAUUCAAGCAUCGACGAGCGAGGUUUUCGUAGUCGGCAGAGAUUCAAGCGCUUUCCGCCGAUGAGGUGUACAUAGUCGGCGGAGAUUCAAGCACUCAUAGGUGAGGUGUUUGCAGUCGGCGGUGAUUUAAGCGCUCGACGAGCAAGGUGUUCGCAGUUGGUGGAGAUUCAAACGCUUUCUGCUGGCGAGGUGUUCGCAGUCGGUGGAGAUUCAAGCGAUCGACGGGCAAGGUGUUCGAUGUCGGCGGAGAUUCAAGCGCUCGACGGGCAAGGUGUUUGAUGUCGGCGGAGAUUCAAGCGCUCGACGGGCAAGGUGUUCGCAGUCGGCGGAGGUUCAACCGGUUGACGGGUGAGGUGUUCGCAGCCGGUGGAAAUUCAAGUGCUUUUCGUCGGCGAGGUGUUUGCAGUCGGCGGACGAGGUGCUCAUAAUCAGUGGAGAUUCAAUCGCUUUUCGCUGGCGAGGUGUUUGCACUCGAUGGAGAUUCAAGCAUCGAUGGGCGAGGUUUUCACAGUCGGCGGAGAUUCAAGCUCUCUCCGCCGACGAGGUGUACGCAGUCGGCGGAGAUUCAAGCACUCAAGGGCGAGGUGUUCGCAGUCGGCAGAGAUUUAAGCACUCGACGAGCAAGGUGUUCGCAGUUGGCGGAGAUUCACAUGCUUUCUGCUGGCGAGGUGUUCGCAGUCGGCGGAGAUUCAAGCGAUCGAUGAGCAAGGUGUUUGAAGUCGGCGGAGAUUCAAGCGCUCUACGGGCAAGGUGUUCGCAGUCAGUGGAGAUUCAAGCGCUCGACGGGCGAGGUGUUCGUAGUUAGCAGAGAUUCAAGCGCUGCACAGUCGAGGUGUUCGCACUCGGUGGAGAUUCUAGCGCUUCUCGCCGGCGAGGUGUUUGCAAUGGACAAAGAUUCAAGCGCUUUCCGCCGGCGAGGUGUUCGCAGUCGAUGGAGAUUCAAGCGCUUUCCGCCGGUGAGGUGUUCGUAGUCGGCGGAGAUUUGAGUGCUUUCCGCUGCCGAGGUGUUCGCAGUUGACGGAGAUUCAAGCGCUCUCUGCGAGCGAGGUGUUUGCAGUCGGCGGAGAUUCAAGCAUUGUCUUCCAUCGGAGCUUCCCUGCGGCUCCACCACACAAGCGAUUUUCAUGAGCGAGGUGUUCGCAAUCGAUGGAGAUUCAAGCGCUGUCCUCCACCAGUGCUUUCGUGCGGCUCCACCACACCGGUGCUCUUCCCCGACGGGGUGUUCGCAGUUGGCGGAGAUUCAAGCGCUUCGCCGGCAAGGUGUUCGCAGUUGGCGGAGAUUCAAGCGUUGUCCGCCACAGGAAAGCGCCACCGGUGCUUUCCUAUGGCUCCACCACAUCGGCGCUUUCUGCCGAUGAGGUGUUUGCAGUCUACGGAGAUUCAGGCGUUGUCCGCUGCCCCGGUGCUUUCUUGCGGCUCCACCACAUUGGCACUUUUUCCUGGCGAGGUGUUCGCAGUCGGCGGAGAUUCAAACGUUGUCCGUCGUCGCCGCUUUCCUGCGGCUCCACCACACCGGCGCUUUCCGACGGUGAGUUGUUCUCAGUUGGCGGAGAUUCAAGUGCUCCGGCGGCGAGGUGUUCGCAGUGGUGGAGAUUCAAGCGCUGUCCGCCACUGGCGCUUUCUUGCGGCUGCACCACAGCGGCGCUUUCCGCCGGCGAGGUGUUCCCAGUCGGCAAAGACUCACGUGUUGUCCGCCGCCGACACUUUCCUUCGGCUCCACCGCAUCAGCUUUGCGCGAGAACUCGAGGUAUGCUGUGCGCACACCCUAUUCCCAUGUGCUAGUUCGCUUUCUCUAUCGCGCGUGUCCGACGCGUUUUCCGACAGGUCGAGCGAUGCUAAUGGCCAAGACGGUUGCUUAACAGCAGUUGCAUUGCGGUGCUUGGAUUGCGGCAGUUUUGUGGUUUGGUCUCGCUGACACAUGGGCAACGACACGGGGAACAUUCGCUGGUGCGAGGAACAACAGUUGCAAGGCGUUAGGUUUUUUUCCGGUGAUGCGGCGGCGAGCAUCGUCGCGCAAACCAAAGAUCAUCAAUCAGGCCAUUUUGGUGGCCACGGCAAUUUUUUUGUUUACUGAGGCAGUUCCCCUCAUCUUUUGCCGUGCUGACCCGUCUCAGGGCAUUUGCGGGCAAUUCACCUCAUCUCUUGCCGUGCUGCCUGUUCUGCAUGUAGAUUAUUCUUCUUGGUAUGCCCCCCUUAGGCAGAUUGGUUACUUUUGCCAUGUUUAGUUGUGCAUGGUAUACACCUAUGUUGCUAUGCUCAUGUGCCCUAUUUGUGUUCAUUGCCGCAGUUGCUAUGUUCAUUUGUGUUAUAUAUUAGUUCUCCGCAUUUCCAUAUUUUUGCCAUGUGAUCCUGUUUUACAUGUGUGAUGUGUGUACUUUGUUGCCAUGCUCUUAUUGUAUGCAGAAAAUUUGUUCUCUAUAAAUUUUGCCAUGUGUUCAUGUUUAGAUUUGUGAUUUUGUAUAACUUUUUUUCCAUGCUCUUAUGUAUGUAGAAGAUUGUUAUCUUCAUAAUUUGCCAUGGCAACACGUUUCUGUGAUUGCUUCACAUUUUUGCCAUGUUCUCCUAUAUGUACUACCUUUUUCAGUGCAAAUUUUCAUGUCAUUUCACAUUGUAUGCACUAAUUGGUUAAAUACAAAUUUGCCAUGCCAUCGUGUAUGUCAUUUGCUUACUACUUGCCAUCCUACCAUUUGCCAUAGUAAUUUUCGGCAUUUUUGCCAUAUAUGAUGUGGUUUAUUACAUUAGUGCCAUUUCCAUCCUUUUUGUUUUAUUUUUCAUGAGUGGAAGGAGGGGUUGGUAGGUCCAGAAUGCAAUUUUCUUUUUCCUUUUUCUCUUUCAUAGAUUUCUUGUCUUUCACUCACUCUCCCUCUUUGUCAUGUGCAGAUCCUUUUGCAUCAUGGCUCGGAAUGGCCAAAGCUGGUAAACAGAUUCAGAAGGAUGUAUUGGCUAGCCAGCGCAACAAGGGCUCACAUGAACGUCUCACUGAGCUCAACAAGAAUUUUAGUGAUGAUCAGAAAAAUAUUGCCCGGAAAUAUGGGGAUGCUUUCAUUGAUGAACUAUCACACAAACCUAAACAACCCCGUGUGCGUCUGGCUUGGGAAGAUUUAUGACAUUGGGACCAGAGUUUCGUCAUCCCUGGGCGUGGCCGAAUUUCAUUGGACAAGGAAUCUGUCUUCAACACGCUUGGUGCGCCCUGUUGUGGCAUCGACGUGCCUUACAAAGUGAAUCGCGAAGUUGAACCGCGACUAUUUGCUGAGAUGUUUCUGGGCAGGGAAACCAUGCCGCUAACAACUGCUCUUGUGUCAUGCGUGGGGGGAUGGCAACUAGUGACCUUGACUUCAAGAGGAAGAGGAAAUUCCUCAUUUUCUUGAUUUCGUCUGUCUUUGCUCCGACUACUUCGAUGCAACCGAGACAAGAUAGGUGACACAAAAAACAUGAAUUGGUGCAAAUUUAUUGUCAGAUUCCUUCACGCUAUCUUUGUGAAAAUGAUUUACAACAAAGGCCACCGUCUCCAUCGAUGACAACUUUCUCUUUUUUAUUUUCUAUUUUUUCAUUGUAUGCUUUUUUCCCCAUCAAUCUAACGUGCCUCUUUUUUCUUGGUUGCUAUCUUCACAGCUUAUAUGUCAACAAACUCGGUAUUAGCAUUGUCAAUCUCAUUGAGUUUGGAGGUCUGCCGCCACCUCAUCAGUUUGAUGUAGCUGCUUGCAAUGAUGGUGCUAUCAAAGUUGUUCUUGCGACAAGCAAGAAGGCUGACAAGUUUUUUGGCAAGCUUUGGGUUAGUUUACCGUCUUCAGACCAUUCUUUUUGUUUGUUACUCCCCCUAUAAAGAAACAUAAGAGCGUUUAGUGCGUUUAGACCACUGAACGCUCUUAUAUUUCUUUACAGAGGGAGUACAUAGUAGAUACAUUACUGGCUGGCAAUUCCAUCCUGGUCAGGUUGCAACUACUCGCUCUGUUUCUAAAUGUAAAUGUUUGUAGAGAUUCCACUAUGGACUACAUACGGAGCAAAAUGAGUGAAUCUACACUCUAAAAUGCAUAUAUAUACAUCUGUAUGUGGUCCACAGUGGAAUCUCUAUAAAGAGUUAUAUUUAGGAACCGAGGGAGUAUAAUACAACUUGGUUGGCAUGCUCACACUUAUCAACAUGGCAAAUUUCAUACUCCCUUCGUCCCAGAACAAGUGUCAUGAUUUUAGUUCAAACUGGGUGAACAUCAUGGUCUUCGGCACUAAAACCAUGACACUUAUUUUGAGACGGAGGGAGUACAUUUAUGCUCUUUGGCAUGUUGAUACUAAUUAGAGAUGGCAACUUCAAUAUAAUUUGGUUGGGAAUUUUAAACUAAUCAGUAGGAAAUUUUAAUAUAUAUGUUAUUAGUAACAAUACAUUGAUCAACAUGAUUUUUUCUUUUGUUCUACCACUAAUUGGCAUUUGCAUUGUUCUACCAUUGAUUUAUUUAAUUUCUUAUUAGACUCACAAUUUUAAUAUAAUCUGGUUGGCAAUUUCAUGUAGAUCAAAAUAGCAAAUUCAUACAUUUUCUGCUUUUUUGCCAUUUGCAUUCUGACUAGGAUGGGAAUAUCUAUGUAAUCUGGUUGGCAAUUUCAUGCAGAUCAGCAUGACAACUUUCAUACAUCAUCCUAGGGCAUGCUCCCAAUAAUUAUGAUGUAGGGUGAAACCCUAGGUGAUGAUCUUUUUCACACUCGGAGGAAAAAAUUGAGGGCAAACAAUAGUUCAAGAGGGGAACACUCAAACAAACCCAAAUCACAUAUCCACUAGAAUAGCAUACAUGAGAUCUACAAGUAUUACAUGAACAAUCAAGGGAAAUAGCACAAAGGUAAAGGUUCUUCUCAAAUCCAAAGAGAUGAGGUCUUGAUGAUCUAGGUAGAUCCUUCUCCCUUAGGAGGUCUUGAUGAUCUUAUGAUGGGGAUCCCUCUCCCUUAAGAGGUUUUGAUCCUCAAGAUGAAGGCACAAGGAGCAAAGCUCUCAAUGAUCUCAAAUAAUUUGCUAACCCUAAUCCAAAUCUAGGAGGUGACUAUUUAUAGACCAAGGAAGGUUUGGGGGGGGGGGGGGAACGGGGGUACAAGGGUCAAUUCUCCUUAAUGCUCGCAGGCAUGGUCGGAGGGGUCUAGGUUCGUAAAGGGCUAGGAACCCCGGGGUGGUCGCCUAGGAGGAGGGCUAGGAACCCUGGGUGGUCGCCUGGGAGGAGGGCUGGGCACCCGGGGGUGGAGGUCCGGGUACCCGGGGUGGCCGUCCUGGUGGAGGGGCCGGGCACCCAAGGGUGGGGAGGCCAGACACUUGGGGUGUCUAAUGGCUUCGCCCACCCUGUGGCCGCAUGUCCGGGCGCCCGGGGUGUCCAGAAGGCCUCUGGUUUCCCGCAUCUUGGGCUUCUCUUUCUCCUCCUUCCUCUUGUGGCUCUGUGUGGACUUGAUGAUCCUUCCUUGCUUCUCCAUGGCCUUUUCCUUGAUACAUAAGCAUGCAUAAAGUCUCCGCUUGAUGUAGAAUCCAUUUCUCAUGUGAAUUCAAAGGAAGCUCGAAGAGGAGAGAGGUAACCUCUAUUUCAAUAGCACGUGCACGGGCUCUUGUCAUUGGUCCACUUGGUGCUUGGGAUGACGGUGGUAGGUCCAUGGGGAUGGCUGUAGGAUGCUCUGCAUCAUCUCCCCCCUUGGGGAAGAUCUGCUCUCGGAUCAAUAACCUCAUCAGCAUGGAAGGGAAAGAGGUCUUUGACAUUGAAGAUGUCACUCACGUUGUACCCGUCUCUUAGGAUGUCAAUCUUGUAGGC